rnacentral:pre_miRNA from 1 species
UCCUAUGGACGAGCAAAGAAAUUGGUUUCUUGAGAUGGAAUCUACUGGUGAAGGUGCUGUGAA